ACGAAAUUUACGAUCCAUGGACGAACGGACAUUAAGUAAUGUAAUUGUUUAUAAUGAAUUUAUAAUUGUUAAUAUAAUAUGUUUCUUAAACUUCAUAGAAGAUUCUGCGUUGUUUGUCCCACAGCGCCUCGCGCCGCCCAGUCAGUAGCAGAGGGCUAAUACUCAUAGCUCAACUUCGCAGUCAUGGCAGAUACCGGUGUACGAUUUGUUAAACAACGCCUGGAUGUAUGGCGCCAUUUCAGUUACAACGCGAAGGAGAACACCGCAGGACGGACGCCACCAAAGAGUCUGCGGCUUUAAAAUGGCAGGAAAGAAAACUGCGAAUCUCAAGCGACAUCCGAGGAGCCAACAUGCUGCCAUCGAUUCCUGACCCAGUGACAUCACAGCCAUACCAGAGUUGGGGAAGGAAGGUCGUUUCCUGGGAUGUUCUAAAGGUCUUUAUAAAUAAAGUUGAGUUGGGUGCUGGCUGGUUGAGUUUGCUUUGGGAGAAGUUCUCAGGCUCCAGGCCUUCAUUUAUGGAUCUAGCUUCUUUUCCUGGAUUUCCUGCCUGACACAAUCAUCUGUGAGACGUUAGAUUUAAAGUGCAUCUACCUGCUUCCUGCCAUCUUUAAACAUGACUGCUUUAUCCCUCUUUCAUCUGGAAAUCCCUGCAGCGCUGCGUCUUCCAACCCACAGUUUGCUUUGUUUUCUAUCAGGACUUGAUGAGAGUCCUGAGCAAACAUCCUGAGGUCUCGUUAGAACGGAUCAAACAGAGACAUGAAGGAGGUCGUUUCCUCCGCGGAUUAUUUGGAUGAAAAACAUUGAUCUAUGAAAUGUUCAUAAUUACAACAAAUCACUGCAGAAAAGAGCAGGUACCGUUUCACAACCUGGUAAUCAGGACUCCUUCAGGAUUGGUUUCAUUUCAACACAAACUACCAGCUAAAGGAAACCAUCAACGCAUGCUGACAAAGUAUUCACACCCCUGAACCUGUCUUACUCACAUUUUUCACAGCAAAGACCCAAUUCAGAUCAUUUCAGCCACCAGAAAAAAUCUGAUUUCAUCCACUUCCAGACGUCCUACUAAAGAAACUCUGUUUCUUCAGGGACAUAAAUUCAACUUUCAGUGUUGCUAUUGGUCCAUAUUAGAUGGAGCUGGAAUGAAAACUUCUGAAAGAGUUAAAGAGUUUUCACUGUGAAAGAGUUGGAACAAAACUGCCUAAAAGUUUAAAUUCAGGUUUAAAUUUAUCUAAAAUGUCAAAAUUUAACUAACUAGAGCUCCUAAUGUAAGGAUUUAUAGCCAGAUAUAGCUGAGUAUCAUCAGCAUAGCGGUGGAAUGAAUCCCAUGCUGCUGUGGGGCACGCUGACAGGAGCAAGGCUGCCAGAACUACCAUCAACACUUCACCCAUGCAGAUCAGAUGCCUUGCUUAUGGACACAAUGACUGAGCUGGGAUUCAAACCAGCCACCAACCAGCUGCACAACAAACUGCAUUCUGCUCCACAACUUUAAAGGCUGCUGAUGUCAUCGUUAGGAGACAGGAGCUCACAGGCUGACAUUAAGGGAGAAACGAUGCUACGUUUUUAUUUUAAAAUCAACAUUUAAGAGACUUUGGAGAAACAAACCUUUUGUUGAAUUAACAGACAACAUUACAGCACAACAUCAACUAGCAGCGCGAAUUCAGCUUCAUUGUUUGUUAUGAAAGUGACCAUGAUGCUGUUAUUUGCCACUGCUGCCUGGGGCACAGCCACGUUACACGACUCUGCUCUCUUAUUGCAUAUAAAGUUUUUAUGAAAACUUACUGCUGCCGUCAUUUUUCUCUUUAAAAUUGUUUUUGCCCAAUUUGUUGGUAAAUAAAACCGUUUGUGUUUAUUUACAAUAACAAUGCAAUACUGUAAGUGUGCACAAUGGGUAAAGAUAAAGGGGCUGAGCUAAUUAGCAAAGUUAAAGAUCUAAAAAAUGCAAAAAAUGAAACAGUUGAUUGUUGGUUGGACUGGAGUCGAGCUGCAGGGUCCAUUAAACGGGCCGGGCUGCUGGAUCACUUUAGGGCUCAUCAACAAUACAACCUUUGGAUCCAUUUCAUUUCUAUUCAUUAAAAUAAAAAAGUUUUGACC